AUUUUUUUUUUUUUUUUUUUUUAAGAGAGGGUGCGUGAGCAUGGUAGGGAGGGGGCAGAGAGAGAGGGAGAGAGAACCUUUUUUUUUUUUUUUUAAAGAUUUUAUUUGUUUAUUCAUCAGAGACACAGAGAGAGGCAGAGACACAGACAGAGGGAGAAGCAGGAGCUUCAACAGGAGCCUAAUGUGGGACUCGAUCCCAGGACCCCAGGAUCACAACCUGAGCUGAAGGCAGAUGCUCAACUGCUGGGCCACCCAGGCGCCCCCAUGGAGAGGGAAUCUUAAGCAGACUUCUGCUGAGCACGGAGCCCCGUUAAGGAAUUGGAUCUCACAACCUUGAGAUCAUGACCUGUGCUGAAAUCAAGAGUUAGAUGCUCAAGCAACUGAGCCAGCCAGGUGCCCCUCAAACAUUAAGAAUUUUUUAAAAAAUUAGUGAAACUAAAUAUUUGGUGUGUUUCAAAUAGAAAAACAAUUUUUACUAUCAGCAAAAAUAUAAAUCAAAAGUUUUAAUAGGAGCGAUUAGAUGAGGAAAAUAAAUGCAUUACUCAAAAACAAACACUACAUGAAAAUGAAAAUCUAUUAAAUCUUUUAAAAAGUAGAGUCUUCAAUAUAAGAGACUUUCAUGAUUUUAUUUAGUUGUGACUGGUGUUUUAUGCAAGAUCUUCUGUAGUCUUUUUUUUUUUGGCAUCAUUAACUAGGGAAGAAAUAAGGAAAAUAGUUAUAAGCUAGUUCCAAAUAUUUUUCUUUGACCUAUUGAUUUUUUUUUAUUAAUUUCUCUUAUUUGAUGCCCAAAGAAGAUCUUUUCAAGUUCUUUUAAGAAUCUUUAGUCUAGGGGAUCCCUGGGUGGCGCAGCAGUUUGGCGCCUGCCUUUGGCCCAGGGCGCGAUCCUGGAGACCCAGGAUCGAAUCCCACAUCAGGCUCCCGGUGCAUGGAGCCUGCUUCUCCCUCUGCCUAUGUCUCUGCCUCUCUCUCUCUCUCUCUGUGACUAUCAUAAAUAAAUAAAUUAAUUUAAAAAAAUAUUAAAAAAAAAAAAAGAAUCUUUAGUCUAUUGAUAUGCGGCUCUAGUUUUUCAUUUCAAAGAAAGCGUUUCUGAUUUGUCUUGACCUUCUUUGAUUUUUAUUGUGUAUGUAGGGAUUCUGAUGCAGUUGCCCAUAUACACACGAAUGCUGUUAUGUGUAGAAGGUAUUUGAAAUAAAAUAAAAAUUAUUCUUGCAAUAUAAGUGUUACAAUACUGCAGCAUAUCCUAGACCAUGCAUUAGUUGGUUCUUUCACGUAAUUAUUCGCAGGACGUAUGUCAGAUUUUAGAUCUUUAAGAAGACAGUGAGGUGAUAGUAUUGGGACAACCUAGAAUAUCUGUUCAUACAUAUUUAAAAUACCCAGAGCAUACCAGCAGCUGGAGGUGCAGCCCCUGAAGGCGUGAGGCCCGGGGUCUGCUCGAGCCCAGAGAGGUGUGCGUGGCUGCGGUGAGUCUCACAGUAGCAGGCUAGCAGGGGCCAGGCUACCAUCCAGGCCAGGGAGGCUGAGAUGUGGAAGAGUGCUGAGGAGUCACUGCACACUUUAAGGCCUCAGCUUGCCUGUUCAGGAAGAGCUUGCUAGCUGUAGACAGGAAGACGUUUUACAAAAGUCAGGUAGGUUACGAUGUUAUAUGAUCUCAGCACAGGGCAUGUGUUUCUGGAUGAAGCAAAUUAAAAGGGGCCGGUGAGGAGGGCUGCUACCAGAUGAGCAGUUGUGAGUGUGGUCCCCAGAGGAGCAGCGUCAGCAUCACCUGGAAACCUGUGAGAAAUACAGUCUCCGUCUGGCUCGGACACUGUGAUGCUGAGGCCCAGCUGCUCCAUGUGUGAUGCUGUUGCACACUAAAUUUUCAGAAUACCUGUUCUCGAUAAUAAGAAUGUAGAGCCAAUAGGACCUUGAGAGUGCUGAGAUGAGGAUGGGCUGUGACAGGACCUCAGUGGGACUUCUGGUCGCCUGGCCUGUCGGCCACAGGCUCUCAGUGGGACUUCUGGUCACUUGGCCUGUUGGCCACAGGCUCUUAGUGGGGCUUUUGGUCGUCUGGCCUGUCGGCCACAGGCUCUCAGUGGGAUUUUGGUCACUUGGCCUAUUGGCCAUAGGCUCUUAGUGGGACUUUUGGUUGUCUGGCCUGUUGGCCACAGGCUCUCAGUCAGACUUCUGGUCACUUGGCCUGUCGGCCACAGGCUCUCACUGGGACUUCUGGUCACUUGACCUGUCGGCCACAGAUUCUCAGUGGGAUUUCUGGUCGCUUGGCCUGUUGGCCACCAGCUCUUAGUGGGACUUUUGGUCAUCUGGCCGGUCGGCCACAGGCUUUCAGGGGACUUCUGAGUGCCUGGCUUUUUGCAGGGUAGAUGAGAGCACCCUUCAUUGAGGCAGAACAUGGGAGAUUUAGUAGGUUUGUGAGCAUAAUGAUGACUUUGGUUUUUGGCAUGUUGAAUUUGGGGGCACUUGUGAAAAUUCCAAGUAGAUUUGUCCAGGGGCUGUUGGGGAAACAGAUUUAUACUUCAGCAGAUUGCUUUGGGCUAGAAAUAGAGAUUUUAGGGUUGUGAGUGUGUACAUGAUAGUUAGGGUGGUUCAGUUUAAAGGCUUGUGCUUAUUUCUGCAGAAUAACAAGAAUGAAAAGAGUGGAGGUGUAAGAAGCCCCAGGAACACCAGGCUUGGGGUAAAGAAAAGGAGAGGAUUUUGUGAAGGGAGUAAUAACUGAUUCCAGGAGAUAGAAUUGCUACUGAAUUUAAGCAAGAAGGAGCUUGAACAAAAGUGGUCAGCACCUGUCAGGUGGAAGGUGUUUGUCUAACUGACACUCUGAGGUCAGUGGCGGUAUUAGUGUGUCCAGUUUCAGUGAGGUCAGAAGCCAGUGGGCGGUGGGAUGUGGCUGGGGGACUCUAGGUGAUUUGCUACACUAAACAUGUCUUCAGAAGCCAUACUAAAAUGGCAAUAAAAUGAUUUUUUUUUAAAAGGCAGAAACCUAUAAGGGCAAAGGAAGCAAAAAGGUGGCAAUAGUCACAAAAUUUUGGAAGUUGGAUGCAGAUAAGCGAGUGGUAAGUGACUUAGCUCAUCGAGUAAACUGAGUCCUAAGCCCAAGAACUCUCAUAAGAUGUGGAGAAUAAUGGCACAAGGUUCUUCAGGAAGAAGGGUGUAAAGGUGGAGCAACAACCAGGAAGAUUGGUAGAAAAGUUUAUUUAAAAACACCACUUAAGGGGCACCCGGGUGGCUUAGUUGGUUCAGCAUCUGACUCUUGAGCUCAGCUCAGAUCUUAAUCUCAGGGUUGUGAGUUUGGUCCUGUGUUGGGCUCCACACUAGGCAUGGAGCCUACUUUAAAAAAAAUAGAAAAGAAAAAAAAUCAUUUAAAUCCUCAACUUUCUGGGCAGCUUUUCAUGCUCAACUGUAGCAGAAGACCAGAGGUUUAAUCUCUGGAGCAGAUCAUGUCACAUAAGAGAUGAGGCAUAGCUGGGGGUAGGGCCAUAGUAAAAACAAGGCCAUGUCUUGCUGUGUUAGGACCUAGGUGGCUUAUGAACGACAGACGUGUAUUCCUCACAGCUCUGGAGGCUGGAGGUACAAGAUCGUGGUAUCAGCAGAUUCGGUGUCUGGUGAGAUCCUGCUUCUGGGUUCAUUGAUGGCCAUCUUUGUGCUGUGCCCUCACACGGUGGGAGGCGUAAGGGAGCUCCCUGGGAUCUCUUUUAUGACACUAAACACAUUCACCAGGGUGCCACCAUCAUGACCUAAUGACCUUCCAACGGCCCUACUUCCUAAUACCAUCCCCUUGGGGGUUAGAAUUUCAACAUACGACUUUUAUAUACACAAGAACAUGCACAUGCUGGCACACAUACUCUGCAUGGGAGAUUGCCAAUUCCUUCACUGGGGAAUAUGACCAGCUUUAGCAGAAACACUCAUGGUGACAUUGGGGCUUCCUGAGGCAAUCGGCCAAGCAGAUUACCCAGCGCCAAGGGCUUACAGUCUUCAGACUCUACCCAAGUCUUCAGAUUUUCAAACACAGUUUUAGUGCCCCACUCCUAAAUAGUGGUAAUAAGCCAAGGAAUGCCAAACAUCUGAAAAGAAACUCUAAGAUGAAGGUUGGAUGUGAAAACAAACAUUCAACUUGGAAGAAAUAGUCCAUGCAGGGAAAAGAAAACAUCUAAAUUUCUUCAGCACAUUCAGAGAAAAGAAGACAGUGUAUCCACAAAAUAACAGGAUCUAUCUAUCUAUAUAUAUUCACACACACACACAUGAAUAUUUGGACAUAAUUAA
rnacentral:lncRNA from 1 species